AACUUGCAGCAAUGUAUCUCUUGGUUCUGGCAUCGAUUAAGAACGCAGCGAAAUGCGAUAAGUAGUGUGAAUUGCAGAAUUCAGUGAAUCAUCGAAUCUUUGAACGCACAUUGCGCCCUAUGGUAUUCCGUAGGGCAUGCCUGUUCGAGCGUCAUUCAAACCUUCAAGCUCUGCUUGGUGGUGGGCGUCUGUCCCGCCUCACGUCGCGGAUUCGCCUCAAAUCUAUUGGCGGCCAGCACGUUGGCUUCGUGCCCAGCAGAAACGCGAACUCAAGACCCGCGGAUCGGCUCCCAGAAGCUAAUCCCCAUGAAUUUGACCUCAGAUCAGGUAGGGAUACCCGCUGAAUUUAAGCAUAUCAAUAAGCGGAGGCU
rnacentral:misc_RNA from 1 species